UUAUACAGCGAAACUGCGAAUGGCUCAUUAAAUCAGUUAUAGUCUACUUGAUCGUAUCUUCUUACAUGGAUAACCGUAGUAAAUCUAGAGCUAAUACAUGCUAAAAAUCCUGGACGCGGCAACGCGGAAGGGACGAGUUUAUUAGAUUAAAAACCGACACCUCUCCGCGAGGGGAGGUAGCACAGGUGAUUCACAGUAACCGAUCGGAUCGUCGGCCCAGCCGACGACGAUGCAUACGAGUUUCUGCCCUAUCAACUUUAGAUGGUAGAGUAUCGGUCUACCAUGGUCGUAACGGGUGACGGGGGAUUAGGGUUCGAUUCCGGAGAGGGAGCCUGAGAAACGGCUACCACUUCCAAGGAAGGCAGCAGGCGCGCAAAUUACCCAAUCCCGACACGGGGAGGUAGUGACAAGAAAUACCAUUGUAAUGUCUCCUCGAGAGGCUUACGAUUGGAAUGAGUGCAAUUUAAAUCCCUUAACGAGUAACGAUU
rnacentral:rRNA from 1 species